rnacentral:rRNA from 1 species
UACGGGGGGGGCAAGCGUUGUUCGGAUUUACUGGGCGUAAAGGGCGCGUAGGCGGCGUGUUAAGUCACUUGUGAAAUCUCUGAGCUUAACUCAGAACGGUCAAGUGAUACUGAUGUGCUAGAGUGCAGAAGGGGCAACCGGAAUUCUUGGUGUAGCGGUGAAAUGCGCAGAUAUCAGGAGGAACACCGAUGGCGAAGGCAGUGUUCUGGGCCAGUACUGACGCUGAGGAGCGAAAGCGUGGGGAGCAAACAGG